rnacentral:rRNA from 1 species
CCGCCUGUUUAUCAAAAACAUCUCUAAAUGGCUUUUAUUUUUAGUAAGACCUGCUCCAAUGACCUUUUAAAUUGCCGCAUUCAAUGUGCUAAGGUAGCAUAAUCAUUUGCCUUUUAAUUGUAGGCUUGCAUGAAUGGUUGUUCAUGUAGAUUUCUUUAUUAACUUUAUUUCUUUAAUUUUUCUUAUUAGUAAAAAGACUAAUAUUUGCUAGAAGGACGACAAGACCCUAUCGAGCUUUACUUAUGUUGAACUGGGGCGGUAAAAAACUAAAUCUUUCUUUUUUUCUUUCAGAUAUUCUUUUUAUAAAAAUUUUUAAGUUACCGUAGGGAUAACAGCAUAAUUUUCUUUUAAAGUUCUUAUUAAAAAGAAAGCUUAUGACCUCGAUGUUGAAUUAUUC